UCAACUUGAGAGUUUGAUUCUGGCUCAGAACGAACGCUGGCGGCAGGCUUAACACAUGCAAGUCGAACGAUAUAGUGGCAGACGGGUGAGUAACGCGUGGGAACGUACCUUUCACUACGGAAUAGCUCUUGGAAACGAGUGGUAAUACCGUAUACGCCCUUCGGGGGAAAGAUUUAUCGGUGAAAGAUCGGCCCGCGUUAGAUUAGCUAGUUGGUAGGGUAAUGGCCUACCAAGGCGACGAUCUAUAGCUGGUCUGAG
rnacentral:rRNA from 1 species